AGAGUUUGAUCCUGGCUCAGUGCGGCUGGAUCACCUCCUUAGAGUUUGAUCCUGGCUCAGGACGAACGCUGGCGGCGUGCCUAAUACAUGCAAGUCGAACGCAUUUUCUUUCACCGUAGCUUGCUACACCGAAAGAAAAUGAGUGGCGAACGGGUGAGUAACACGUGGGUAACCUGCCCAUCAGCGGGGGAUAACACUUGGAAACAGGUGCUAAUACCGCAUAAUUCCAUUUACCGCAUGGUAAAUGGAUGAAAGGCGCUUUUGCGUCACUGAUGGAUGGACCCGCGGUGCAUUAGCUAGUUGGUGGGGUAACGGCCUACCAAGGCUGCGAUGCAUAGCCGACCUGAGAGGGUGAUCGGCCACACUGGGACUGAGACACGGCCCAGACUCCUACGGGAGGCAGCAGUAGGGAAUCUUCGGCAAUGGACGCAAGUCUGACCGAGCAACGCCGCGUGAGUGAAGAAGGUUUUCGGAUCGUAAAACUCUGUUGUUAGAGAAGAACAAGGAUGAGAGUGGAAAGUUCAUCCCUUGACGGUAUCUAACCAGAA
rnacentral:sRNA from 1 species